UGAAACAAGAGGGGAUUAUGAAUUGAUUAAAUGUUGUGAAAUAUAGUUUGAAAGCAUGUAUGUACAAAGUAUGAUUAAUGGACAUAAUUCCAUGAUCCUCAAGGGAGGUUACAUGGUGGUGCCCUGUAGUUGUUGUGAUUGACCGUAUGAAUGGUCGAAGUUCAGGAUGGGGUUUAUCCUAACAUUCUAAUGAUCAUCCAUGCUCAAGUAGAGAGUGAUGAUUCAUGUGGUGAGAAUAGCAGGAGGUCCUAGCCCAUCGGUUCUUGGGUGAGUUAUAACGGACUAACCUCGGGUGGCAGCUGAUGGUUUUCCAAUUACUAAACCACCCAGGUGCACAAACCCCUAGAACUCGACAUUUCAUACUAGUCCGGAUGGUCAAAUCACGUGGUCCGUCCUUGGUAUCAACAAAAUGCAUUUGGUCAUAGUCUGUAUGGUGUUAUGGUCCUUACUUGCUUGAAAUACUUGAUUGAUAACAUGCUUUUUAUACCUAGCUUACCCUUGCAAUUGUGUGUUUUGUAUGUGUGUGACUUUCCCCUUGCAAUG
rnacentral:lncRNA from 1 species